rnacentral:rRNA from 1 species
UACGUAGGGUGCGAGCGUUAAUCGGAAUUACUGGGCGUAAAGCGUGCGCAGGCGGCGCGUUAAGACAGGUGUGAAAGCCCCGAGCUUAACUUGGGAAUUGCGCUUGUGACUGGCGUGCUGGAGUGUGGCAGAGGAAGGUGGAAUUCCACGUGUAGCAGUGAAAUGCGUAGAGAUGUGGAGGAACACCGAUGGCGAAGGCAGCCUCCUGGGCCAGCACUGACGCUCAUGCACGAAAGCGUGGGGAGCAAACAGG